UAAAUAUUUCAUUGACGUAAACAAUUAACUUUACCACUUAAACUACAUAUGGUAGCCCACACAUAUUGUGUACUUAGCCAAUACCUAUACCUCAACCUUUAAAAGGUUUAUUUAUACAGUAAACAGCCAGACCCCAACCUAUGGUCUAAGGUUCUCCCACAACACCAAUGUCUUAUAUUAUAGUAGUUAGGCAACUAAGCUAUAGAAACAAGUAUAUUAGGGAUGGCAAAAGUGGUGCCAGCAGUCGCGGUUAUACCACUAUCCCAAGUUAACUCCUAACAAACCAGGAUUACACCUACAAAAAGACUAUAAGAUUAACUUCCUACGUAAAAAAUACAUUACAACCACAUCCAACUAAGUCUUACCCACCUUAUCCACACAAACCAUGACCUCAGAACUCGGAUUAGAUACCCGACUACUGUGUGGCCCAACACACAUAAAGAAUACUAAAAACGAAAGUUUAAAACUCAAACAAUGUGGCGGUGCUUUACUCCUCAUCAGGGGAUCCUGUGGCUUAAAUCGAUAACCCACGAUGAACCCAAGCUCUCCUUGUAUUACAGCUUGUGUAUGGCCGUUUAAGCUUGCUCAGAAAAGAUAAACAAAGGAAGCAAUUAGGCUUACAACCCUAACAAUUCAGGUGACAUACAGCCAAUGGAAAGCUGUCCCAUGGGAUACAACUAGCCAACCCUAUUGAAAUUUAACCUUAAAAAUUAAAUGAAAGAGGACUUGAAAGUAAGAUUUAAUACACCAAAUAAAUCUGAACAAGAACUAAAGCGCGCACAAAUCGCCCGUCACUCCGACAAUAAAGUCGGAUAAGUCGUAACACAGUAGGGGUAAUGGAAAUUGCCCCUAUCAACAA
rnacentral:rRNA from 1 species